UACGGGGGGGGCAAGCGUUGUUCGGAAUUACUGGGCGUAAAGGGCUCGUAGGCGGCCACCUAAGUCCGACGUGAAAUCCCUCGGCUUAACCGGGGAACUGCGUCUGAUACUGGAUGGCUUGAGUUCGGGAGAGGGAUGCGGAAUUCCAGGUGUAGCGGUGAAAUGCGUAGAUAUCUGGAGGAACACCGGUGGCGAAGGCGGCAUCCUGGACCGACACUGACGCUGAGGAGCGAAAGCCAGGGGAGCAAACGGG
rnacentral:rRNA from 1 species